AGAGUUUGAUCCUGGCUCAGAUUGAACGCUAGCGGCAGGCCUAACACAUGCAAGUCGAGCGGAUGAAGGGAGCUUGCUCCCUGAUUUAGCGGCGGACGGGUGAGUAAUGCCUAGGAAUCUGCCUGGUAGUGGGGGAUAACGUUCCGAAAGGAACGCUAAUACCGCAUACGUCCUACGGGAGAAAGCAGGGGACCUUCGGGCCUUGCGCUAUCAGAUGAGCCUAGGUCGGAUUAGCUAGUUGGUGAGGUAAUGGCUCACCAAGGCGACGAUCCGUAACUGGUCUGAGAGGAUGAUCAGUCACGCUGGAACUGAGACACGGUCCAGACUCCUACGGGAGGCAGCAGUGGGGAAUAUUGGACAAUGGGCGAAAGCCUGAUCCAGCCAUGCCGCGUGUGUGAAGAAGGUCUUCGGAUUGUAAAGCACUUUAAGUUGGGAGGAAGGGCAUUAACCUAAUACGUUAGUGUUUUGACGUUACCGACAGAAUAAGCACCGGCUAACUUCGUGCCAGCAGCCGCGGUAAUACGAAGGGUGCAAGCGUUAAUCGGAAUUACUGGGCGUAAAGCGCGCGUAGGUGGUUCGUUAAGUUGGAUGUGAAAGCCCCGGGCUCAACCUGGGAACUGCAUCCAAAACUGGCGAGCUAGAGUACGGUAGAGGGUGGUGGAAUUUCCUGUGUAGCGGUGAAAUGCGUAGAUAUAGGAAGGAACACCAGUGGCGAAAGCGACCACCUGUACUGAUACUGACACUGAGGUGCGAAAGCGUGGGGAGCAAACAGGAUUAGAUACCCUGGUAGUCC
rnacentral:rRNA from 1 species